rnacentral:tRNA from 4 species
CGGGGCGUAGUUCAGUUGGCUAGAACGCUUGCAUGGGGUGCAAGAGGUCGCAGGUUCAAGUCCUGUCGCCCCGACCA